GAAGAGAAGAGGAGGACUAUAGCUCUCACCAAGCCAACUGUAGGAACAGCGCCAAGAAGGGGUGGCAUUUCAUCAAUGUCCAGUGUAUGGUUAAUUCCCCAGCUAGCACUGACAGGAUUAGCCGAAGCAUUCGGUUCCAUUGGCAUGGUUGAAUUCUACUACAAGCAAUUUCCUGAGAACAUGAGAAGCAUUGCUGGGUCUCUCUUUUUUUGUGGCAUGGCAGGUUCAAGUUAUUUAAGCAGUUUAUUAAUAACAAUAGUUCACACAACGACAAAUUGGUUGCCAGAAGAUCUCAACAAGGGAGGACUAAACUGCUACUAUUACGUGAUUGCUGCUCUUGGGGUCCUAAAUUUCGGCUACUUUCUAAUAUGUGCAAAGUGGUACAAGUACAAAGGAGGCAUUACAGAUACAAUCGAAAUUACCCAACAGGCAAAGCCAAUUAAGCCUUGAGAUAAGAUUUCUAUUAAUUAGAAUAAAAUAAAAUUAGAACAGUAGACUGC
rnacentral:misc_RNA from 1 species